rnacentral:rRNA from 1 species
GACGAACGCUGGCGGCGUGCUUAACACAUGCAAGUCGAGCGGUCAGAGGACCGGUUUUUGCUGGUUCUGGUUGAGGGGCGCGCGUGUGUGUCACACGUGUGUAACCUGCACCCUUCUUCUGGAUAACCGCAUGAAAGUAUGUCUAAUACGAGAUUUUCUUCGCCUGCUGCGUGGUGGGUGGGGAGACGGUAUUGUUACGGUGGAGGGUGGGAUCGCGGCCUCUCAGCUUGUUGGUGGAGUGAUGGCCUACCCAGGCGGUGACGGGUAGCCGGCCUGGGAGGGUGGACGGCCACAGUGGGAAUGAGACACGGACAAGACUCCGACGGGAGGCAGCAGUGGGGAAUAUGGCACAAUGGGAGGAAGCAUGAUGCAGCGACGCCGCGGGAGGGAUGGAGGCCGUCGGGUUGUAAACCUCUUUCGCCAGUGAAGCAGGCCUGUCCCUUUUGUGGGUGGGUUGACGGUAGCUGGAUAAGAAGCGCCGGCUAACUACGUG